rnacentral:misc_RNA from 1 species
GAUGAAGAACGUAGCGAAAUGCGAUAAGUAAUGUGAAUUGCAGAAUUCAGUGAAUCAUCGAAUCUUUGAACGCACAUUGCGCCCCUUGGUAUUCCGAGGGGCAUGCCUGUUCGAGCGUCAUUAUAACCCCUCAAGCUCAGCUUGGUGUUGGGGCCUGCCGCACGGGCAGCCCUUAAAAUCAGUGGCGGUGCCAUCUGGCUCUAAGCGUAGUAAUUCUUCUCGCUAUAGAGUCCCGGUGGAUGCUUGCCAUUAACCCCCAAUUUUCUAUGGUUGACCUCGGAUCAGGUAGGGAUACCCGCUGAACUUAAGCAUAUCAAUAAGCGGAGAA